GACGAACGCUGGCGGCGUGCCUAAUACAUGCAAGUAGAACGCACAGUUUAUACCGUAGCUUGCUACACCAUAGACUGUGAGUUGCGAACGGGUGAGUAACGCGUAGGUAACCUGCCUGGUAGCGGGGGAUAACUAUUGGAAACGAUAGCCAAUACCGCAUAAUAUUAAUUAUUGCAUGAUAAUUAAUUGAAAGGUGCAAUUGCACCACUACCAGAUGGACCUGCGUUGUAUUAGCUAGUAGGUGAGGUAACGGCUCACCUAGGCGACGAUACAUAGCCGACCUGAGAGGGUGAUCGGCCACACUGGGACUGAGACACGGCCCAGACUCCUACGGGAGGCAGCAGUAGGGAAUCUUCGGCAAUGGACGAAAGUCUGACCGAGCAACGCCGCGUGAGUGAAGAAGGUUUUCGGAUCGUAAAGCUCUGUUGUAAGAGAAGAACGGGUGUGAGAGUGGAAAGUUCACACUGUGACGGUAUCUUACCAGAAAGGGACGGCUAACUACGUG
rnacentral:rRNA from 1 species